rnacentral:rRNA from 1 species
UACAGAGGUCCCAAGCGUUGUUCGGAUUUACUGGGCGUAAAGGGUGCGUAGGUGGUGAGGUAAGUUUGAUGUGAAAUCUCCGGGCUCAACCCGGAAAUGGCAUUGAAUACUAUCUUGCUAGAGGAGUGGAGGGGGGACUGGAAUACUUGGUGUAGCAGUGAAAUGCGUAGAUAUCAAGUGGAACACCAGUGGCGAAGGCGAGUCCCUGGACACUUCCUGACACUGAGGCACGAAAGCUAGGGGAGCAAACAGG